rnacentral:rRNA from 1 species
CCUACGGGAGGCAGCAGUGAGGAAUAUUGGUCAAUGGACGAGAGUCUGAACCAGCCAAGUAGCGUGAAGGAUGACUGCCCUAUGGGUUGUAAACUUCUUUUAUAAAGGAAUAAAACGAGGCACGUGUGCCUUUUUGCAUGUACUUUAUGAAUAAGGAUCGGCUAACUCCGUGCCAGCAGCCGCGGUAAAACGGAGGAUCCGAGCGUUAUCCGGAUUUAUUGGGUUUAAAGGGAGCGUAGAUGGGUUGUUAAGUCCGUUGUGAAAGUUUGCGGCUCAACCGUAAAAUUGCAAUUGAUACUGGCAGUCGUGAGUACAGUUGAGGUAGGCGGAAUUCGUGGUGUAGCGGUGAAAUGCUUAGAUAUCACGAAGAACCCCGAUUGCGAAGGCAGCUUACUAAACUGUGACUGACAUUGAUGCUCGAAAGUGUGGGUAUCAAACAGGAUUAGAUACCCUUGUAGUC